CCAGCAUUUAAAUGUUCCAUAGAUGAAACCUAUUCGGAUUUUAUAAUACAAAUUCAUUUUUCAAACACGAAACCUAUGCAAAGCAGCAUGAAUGCAAACAAAUAAAUUUGUCUCCUAUGGUUCGUUUAAAUUUAUUCUAGAAAAUAUUAUUUGCAUGCAGCUAAUUGUGAAUUAAAGCAAAAUAAUUCUAGGAAAUUGCUAGAAAAUUUCAAGCUAUUGUGAAAAUUAAAAUUAGGGUGUUACAGAUUCUACCCCUUAAAAUGAAUCUCUUCC
rnacentral:lncRNA from 1 species